rnacentral:tRNA from 1 species
GCCCGCAUAGCUCAGUCGGUAGAGCAUCAGACUUUUAAUCUGAGGAUCGUGGGUUCGUGUCCCCCUGUGGGCG